GUCACCGGUUAAUCAUUCAACAGUUAUUUCGACAAAUCUUAGACUCAGGCCACCUAAGAAAUUACGAAAAAUUAGGAAAUUCGACGCCUGGCCGGUGUUUCUCCGUCGGGAGUGGAGCCGUAACUGGCCGUUCCUUGUCGGUUUCGCCAUCACUGGCACCGUCAUCACCAAAAUGUCACUCGGCCUCACUGAGGAGGACGCAAAGAACUCUAAAUUCGCUCAGAGGCACAAACAUUGAGUUGAGGCUAUGCACAAGUGCUGGAUGAAGGCUUCUGUUCCAAUAGCACUUCCAUUUCCUACUGUUCCGGUUUUCUUUUGUUUCUACAAGUCUCAGAUAGCUUAUAGAUUGCAUAAAGUGGCCAUUUAAUCUUUUUGGUGGCCAAACUUAUAAUUUCUCUGCUGAUUUGACUGUGAGAGGUUUGAAAACUCUCAACUAUUUUGAUUGAAAUGGAGUAAGAUUGUUUAGCACAUAUAAUGAGCCUCGGUUGUUCAAAUAUCUCUUCAGAUGACAACGGUUUUAUUGUCCACACAUUAUACAUAUGUUUCAACUUCCCUC